rnacentral:rRNA from 1 species
GACGAACGCUGGCGGCGUGCUUAACACAUGCAAGUCGAACGAAGAGCGAUGGACGCUUGCUUCUAUCAAUCUUAGUGGCGAACGGGUGAGUAACGCGUAAUCAACCUUCCCUUCAGAGGGGGACAACAGUUGGAAACGACUGCUAAUACCGCAUACGAUCCAAUCUCGGCAUCGGGACUGGAUGAAAGGUGGCCUCUAUUUAUAAGCUAUCACUGAAGGUGGGGAUUGCGUCUGAUUAGCUAGUUGGGGGGGUAACGGCCCACCAAGGCGAUGAUCAGUAGCCGGUCAGAGAGGAUGAACGGCCACAAGGGGAAGGAGAAAAGGCCAAGAAGCCUACGGGAGGCAGAAGGGGGGAAACAUCCGAAAUGGAGGAAAGACUGACGGAGCAACGCCGCGUGAGUGAUGACGGCCUUCGGGUUGUAAAGCUCUGUUAAUCGGGACGAAUGGUUCUUGUGCGAAUAGUGCGAGGAUUUGACGGUACCGGAAUAGAAAGCCACGGCUAACUACGUG